rnacentral:rRNA from 1 species
GAUGAACGCUGGCGGCGUGCCUAAUACAUGCAAGUCGAGCGGUAACACUUCGGGUGACGAGCGGCGGACGGGUGAGUAACGCGUAGAAACGUACCCCAGAGUGAGGGAUAAGCAUCAGAAAUGGUGUCUAAUACCGCAUAACCUCUUCGGAGAAAAGCUUUAUGCGCUUUGGGAACGGUCUGCGUAGGAUUAGCUAGUUGGUAAGGUAAAAGCUUACCAAGGCAAUGAUCCUUAGCUGGUUUGAGAGGAUGAUCAGCCACACUGGAACUGAGACACGGUCCAGACUCCUACGGGAGGCAGCAGUAGGGAAUCUUCCACAAUGGACGAAAGUCUGAUGGAGCAACGCCGCGUGCAGGAUGACACCCUUCGGGGCGUAAACUGCUUUUAUAAGUGAAGAAUAUGACGGUAACUUAUGAAUAAGGAUCGGCUAACUCCG